rnacentral:rRNA from 1 species
UCUACGGGCGGCAGCAGUGAGGAAUAUUGGUCAAUGGACGAGAGUCUGAACCAGCCAAGUAGCGUGAAGGAUGACUGCCCUAUGGGUUGUAAACCUCUUUUGUCGGGGAGCAAAAGACGCCACGCGUGGCGUUCCGAGAGUACCCGAAGAAAAAGCAUCGGCUAACUCCGUGCCAGCAGCCGCGGUAAUACGGAGGAUGCGAGCGUUAUCCGGAUUUAUUGGGUUUAAAGGGUGCGCAGGCGGAUUUUUAAGUCAGCGGUCAAAUCGUGGGGCUCAACCCCAUCCAGCCGUUGACACUGGGGAUCUAGAGUGUGCGAGAGGUAUGCGGAAUGCGUGGUGUAGCGGUGAAAUGCAUAGAUAUCACGCAGAACCCCGAUUGCGAAGGCAGCAUACCGGUGCACAACUGACGCUCAGGCACGAAAGCGUGGGUAUCGAACAGGAUUAGAUACCCUUGUAGUC